UGGGGAAUAUUGCGCAAUGGGGGAAACCCUGACGCAGCGACGCCGCGUGCGGGAUGAAGGCCUUCGGGUUGUAAACCGCUUUUGAUUGGGAGCAAGCUUUCGGGUGAGUGUACCUUUCGAAUAAGGUCCGGCUAAAUACGUGCCAGCAGCCGCGGUAAUACGUAUGGACCGAGCGUUGUCCGGAAUCAUUGGGCGUAAAGGGUACGUAGGCGGCCCAGUAAGUUAGAAGUGAAAUAAUAUAGCUCAACUAUAUAAAGCUUUUAAAACUGCUAGGCUUGAGAGAUGGAAGGGAAAGUGGAAUUCCUAGUGUAGCGGUGAAAUGCGCAGAUAUUAGGAAGAAUACCGGUGGCGAAGGCGACUUUCUGGUCAUCAUCUGACGCUGAGGUACGAAAGCGUGGGUAGCAAACAGG
rnacentral:rRNA from 1 species